rnacentral:lncRNA from 1 species
CAGCACUUUGGGAGGCUGAGGCAGGAGGAUAGCUUGAGGCCAGGAGUUCGAGACUAACCGGAGCAACAUAGUAAGGCCACAUCUGUACAAAAAAAAGAAAGAAAAAAUUACCCAGGUUUGGUGGCAUGCACUUGUAGUCCCAGUUGUGGGCUGAGGAUUAUGCAGGUGACAAGGCAAGAGACUGAAGGCACAAACUGUUUCAGUAUAAUAAAGAAAAUAGAAUAAUAAUAGUCAUAAUUAUAUAUAGAGAUGAUCAUGAACAAUUAUCAAUCAUUAUAAUAAACAUUAUUAAUCAUUAGCUUUUA